UACAGGGGGUGCAAACGUUGCUCGGAAUCAUUGGGCGUAAAGCGCACGUAGGCGGUUCGUUAUGUCGGAUGUGAAAGCCCACGGCUUAACCGUGGAAGUGCAUGGGAAACUGCUGAGCUUGAGUACUUAAGAGGAUCGCGGAAUUCCCGGUGUAGAGGUGAAAUUCGUAGAUAUCGGGAGGAACACCAGUGGCGAAAGCGGCUCACUGGACCACUACUGACGCUGAUGCGCGAAAGCUAGGGGAGCAAACAGG
rnacentral:rRNA from 1 species